CGCCCCAGUCAAUCCAGUGGUGCUAAGAGUCCUAGCUCACGCUUUAGCGGAUCCCUUCGGGGUGAGGCGGGUGUGUGUGAACGCUCGACCCCAUGCUGGUGCGGCUAGCGUAUUAACA
rnacentral:rRNA from 1 species